GCUUACGGCCAUACCACCCCUGAAAACGCCCGAUCUCGUCCGAUCUCGGAAGCUAAGCAGGGUCGGGCCUGGUUAGUACUUGGAUGGGAGACCGCCUGGGAAUACCAGGUGCUGUAAGCU
rnacentral:rRNA from 1 species